rnacentral:rRNA from 1 species
GAUGAACGCUGGCGGCGUGCUUAACACAUGCAAGUCGAACGAAGCACUUUGAUUUCUUCGGAAGGAUGAGUGACUUAGUGGCGGACGGGUGAGUAACGCGUGGGUAACCUGCCUCGUACAGGGGGAUAACAGUUAGAAAUGACUGCUAAUACCGCAUAUGCACACAGCACCGCAUGGUGCAGGGUGGAAAGAUUUAUCGGUACGAGAUGGACCCGCGUUGGAUUAGCUAGUUGGUGAGGUAACGGCCCACCAAGGCGACGAUCCAUAGCCGGCCUGAGAGGGUGAACGGCCACAUUGGGACUGAGACACGGCCCAAACUCCUACGGGAGGCAGCAGUGGGGAAUAUUGCACAAUGGGGGAAACCCUGAUGCAGCGACGCCGCGUGAGCGAAGAAGUAUUUCGGUAUGUAAAGCUCUAUCAGCAGGGAAGAAAAUGACGGUACCUGACUAAGAAGCCCCGGCUAACUACGUG